ensembl:snRNA RNU7-53P RNA, U7 small nuclear 53 pseudogene
UAGUGUUACAGCUCUUUUAGAAUUUGUCUAGCAGGUUUUUGGUUUUUUAGCGAAACCCUC